rnacentral:lncRNA from 1 species
CUCCAGCUAUUGACAAUGACUACAGUAUAUAAGCGGUAUACAAAAAUAGUUUGUAACUCACCUAUAGAUAAAUAUCUAUCUCAUCCACGUACCGCUUGUUCUGCUUCUGUCCGAGUGAACUUUACAACGGCCAGAUUUCGAAAGCACGGCUAUAUACAUUUUUAAUUAAUACGGUGUUGAUUCAAAGCGCAUCUAGCACUGCAGCUACCCUUUUUAAUUUUAAUAGUCUAUGAACAUUAUUCUAAUCAAGCUUGGUUUAACUUAACCAAUGAAUGCGUUAUAUUAGGAUUCAUUUUUUCCAUACUCUGGCAUCAAACUAUAUGAAACGAUCACAUUCGGUCGAACGAUAUGCU